UGGGGAAUUUUGCGCAAUGGACGAAAGUCUGACGCAGCAACGCCGCGUGGGUGAUGAAGGUCUUCGGAUUGUAAAACCCUGUCGUCGGGGACGAAGGUUGGGGCCAUAACAUGGUUUCAGCUUGACGGUACCCGGAGAGGAAGCCCCGGCUAACUCUGUGCCAGCAGCCGCGGUAAUACAGAGGGGACAAGCGUUAUUCGGAAUUAUUGGGCGUAAAGGGCGCGUAGGCGGUUUUUUAAGUCGGCUGGGUAAUCCCCGAGCUUAACUUGGGAACUGCAUCCGAGACUGGAAGGCUAGAGUGCUGGAGAGGGUGGUGGAAUUCCACGUGUAGCGGUGAAAUGCGUAGAGAUGUGGAGGAACACCAGUGGCGAAGGCGGCCACCUGGACAGUAACUGACGCUGAGGCGCGAAAGUGUGGGUAGCAAACA
rnacentral:rRNA from 1 species